UUGGAGGGCAAGUCUGGUGCCAGCAGCCGCGGUAAUUCCAGCUCCAAUAGCGUAUAUUAAAGUUGCUGCAGUUAAAAAGCUCGUAGUUGAAUUUCGGGACCAUCAUGUCGGUCGUGCCUCGGUACGUACUGGCAUUGUUGGUUUCUCCCUUCUGACGAACCAUGAUGUCAUUUAUUUGGUGUUGUGGGAAAUCAGGACUGUUACUUUGAAAAAAUUAGAGUGUUUAAAGCAGGCUCACGCUUGAAUACAUUAGUAUGGAAUAAUGAAAUAGGACGUUUGAUUCUAUUUUGUUGGUUUCUAGGAUCGACGUAAUGAUUAAUAGGGAUAGUUGGGGGCAUUAGUAUUCAAUUGUCAGAGGUGAAAUUCUUGGAUUUAUUGAAGACUAACUACUGCGAAAGCAUUUGCCAAGGAUGUUUUCAUUAAUCAAGAACGAAAGUUAGGGGAUCGAAGACGAUCAGAUACCGUCGUAGUCUUAACCAUAAACUAUGCCGACUAGGGAUCGGAUGAUGUUAAUUUUUUAAUGACUCAUUCGGCGCCUUACGGGAAACCAAAGUGUUUGGGUUC
rnacentral:rRNA from 1 species